rnacentral:rRNA from 1 species
UCUAACCUAAGAGUUUGAUCCUGGCUCAGAACGAACGCUGGCGGCAUGCCUAACACAUGCAAGUCGAACGCUAUUUAUAGAGUGGCGCACGGGUGAGUAACGCGUGGGAACCUGCCUUUUUCUGCGGGAUAACGGUUGGAAACGACCGCUAAUACCGCAUACGCCCUACGGGGGAAAGGUCCGCCGGAGAAAGAGGGGCCCGCGUCUGAUUAGCUAGUUGGUAGGGUAACGGCCUACCAAGGCGACGAUCAGUAGCUGGUCUGAGAGG